AGUAGAAUGGGAGUUGAAUAGACAGGACACAAGGUUGACUAUGCAGUGUGAUCUGAACUCUGUAAACGGUGAAACAAAAGAAGUGAAAUGUAACCAGUGGUUACCCUAUUGUAAAUUGCAGACACCUUUGGACAAAUACAGCCUAUGAUUCUUCAAUAAGGAAAUGCAUUGAAAUGGGUGUUAAGAAGCAAGAUUCGUUUUGGGUUCUCCCCAGAUGAUCUUGGAGAAAGUCUGCUGCUGUGAAGGCUCAGCAGGGGCGGGAGAAUCCAAGAAGGAAGAAUUUAGCGUUGGUGCUCCCGCCACAUGGUCACACACCCUGCUACUGCUUUCUGCGUGGACUGCUGAGAUUCAAGGCAGCUGGAACCUGCUUGGUUCUCUUGACCCUUUGCAUCCUGGUGGGCUCUGAUGACGGAAAACGCUGCCUGCCUGCCUCUUCUCCUGGACUGACUCCCUAACGUCCUAAUGUCUGAGGGACAAAUCCUCGCGAUCUCUCGCCAAGGGAGCCCUCAGCCAGGACCCUGAAGGCCCACUGGUUGGCAAAGACAAAGCGAUACAUACCUGGUGUCUGAACAGCGGUAGGAGAAAAUAAGAGCCUUUCUCUUUCUCAGGACUUGCCAUACAGCUUGCUUGCUUUCUUUUUUUUCUUACUGUUCUUUUUUUGUUUCUUUUUCUUUUUUUGGUCUUAGAAGCUGUUUUCAAAGACCAGCUGAAUUGUAGCUCAGAAGAAAAAAAUGGAAAAGACAAGUAAACAUCCAGAAAUCUGGAAAGAAGAAAGAAAAUCUCAUGAAUGUAACUCUGACCUCAGCUGACUCAAAUAAAGGUGUUCAUUACCGAACGAUUAGAACCACCUACACAGGACAAAGUGAAUUUCUGAUCAACAGGUAGUAAUAGCAAACCCCCCUGAAAAGCUAAGAAGCAUUAGAGUGGAUUAUCCAUGAAGAGAGGAUUAGAAAAAGAGAGACUUGGAAUCCAGCAAACGAAACCCCAGCGGGCCAGCUGGCUAAUGUUUGGGAUAAUAAUUCCAAACGUAUUAAAAUAAAUUGUAAAAGAGAAAAGGCCGAAGGCAAUAAAAGCAAGCUUCACACGAUACUGUAUAUUGUGGAUAAAAUCAUGCACAUUCGCAAUAAUCACUUCCCCAGAGGCAAGCAAUACAGGCACCACCAGCAGAGCUGGGGAGAAUUUCAAGACACAAAGCCCGCUGUAUGCCAACAAGAGUUGCUGCAAGUGGGAGGACUUACAACAGAGUCUGCCUAAUAGCCACCGUUCUGGUCCGUUUUUUCCCUGUGGCCUGAGCACUGUCUCAUGCACGAUGUUGAAAUGGGAACGCAAUAGCAGGGUAGGCAACUUCACUCCUCCGCAGUCUUAAAUGCGGUAUUGCUCAAGGAUCUUAUUCCCCUAAGCAGGGAGAGAAAUGCCUUUUCUUUUUUCUCACUUAUGGAGUUUCUCCAGCGACACAGAUCAGCUCUUGUUGGUCUUGUUCACCUCAGCGAGUAGAAUUAAGAAGCUGACAGGAGCGUCGAGCCAUCCAUUUUUGUUUUUACCAUAUCCAGAGCCUGCCACCAUUUUUUAUCUCGAGUAUCUGCUAUUUUCUGGCCCGUUUGAGGUGGCCUUGUUACUUCUAGGAAAUCUGUAAAUGCUAUUUAUUGAAAUGCUCCCCAUAAUUUUUCCAUUUUUAGUUUAGGCCAAUGAAAUAUAACAACUGGCUUAAGCUAGGGGAAAAUCGUAGGGCUAAAUGUUUCUGUAAUUAUAGGCUCCUUCUUAAAUGUUUUUUUGUGAAGUCUGAAAUUCCUUUAUCCUUAAUUUUUGAGUAACUGAUGGAGUCCUUACUGAGGACUUCCCUUCCUGCGUUGAUUUGAGAGUGUGUGAUGAGUCCUCGGUUCAAGUUAGUACCGUUCAUCCAUCCAUU
ensembl:lncRNA